rnacentral:rRNA from 1 species
GACGAACGCUGGCGGCGUGCUUAACACGUGCAAGUCGAACGGAAAGGCUCCAGCUUGCUGGAGUACUCGAGUGGCGAACGGGUGAGUAACACGUGGGUAAUCUGCCCUGCACUCUGGGAUAAGCCUGGGAAACUGGGUCUAAUACUGGAUAUGACCUUUCUCCUUAUGGGGUUUGGUGGAAAGUUUUUCGGUGUAGGAUGAGCCCGCGGCCUAUCAGCUUGUUGGUGGGGUGAUGGCCUACCAAGGCGACGACGGGUAGCCGGCCUGAGAGGGUGAUCGGCCACAUUGGGACUGAGAUACGGCCCAGACUCCUACGGGAGGCAGCAGUGGGGAAUAUUGCACAAUGGGCGGAAGCCUGAUGCAGCGACGCCGCGUGAGGGAUGACGGCCUUCGGGUUGUAAACCUCUUUCAGCAGGGACGAAGCGUAAGUGACGGUACCUGCAGAAGAAGCACCGGCUAACUAUGUGCCAGCAGCCGCGGUAAUACGUAGGGUGCGAGCGUUGUCCGGAAUUACUGGGCGUAAAGAGCUCGUAGGCGGUUUGUCACGUCGUCUGUGAAAUCCUAGGGCUUAACCCUGGACGUGCAGGCGAUACGGGCUGACUUGAGUACUACAGGGGAGACUGGAAUUUCUGGUGUAGCGGUGGAAUGCACAGAUAUCAGGAAGAGCACCGAUGGCGAAGGCAGGUCUCUGGGUAGUAACUGACGCUGAGGAGCGAAAGCAUGGGUAGCGAACAGG